rnacentral:rRNA from 1 species
CACGGGGAGGUAGUGACGAAAAAUAACGAUACGGGACUCAUCCGAGGCCCCGUAAUCGGAAUGAGUACACUCUAAACCCUUUAACAAAAAACAAUUGGAGGGCCAGUCUGGUGCCAGCAGCCGCGGUAAUUCCAGCUCCAAUAGCGUAUAUUAAAGUUGUUGCGGUUAAAAAGCUCGUAGUCGAAUCUGUGUCCCGUGCCGCUGGUUCAUCGCUCGCGGUGUUUAACUGGCGUGUCUCACGGGACGUCCUGCCGGUGGGCUUUUCGAUUUGUUCGUCAUUCGUGGCGUUCGGUCGUGUGGCCCAACUUGCGUUUCGGCCUUGUGUCGAGCGUGAAUCCCAUCGCGGUGCUCUUUAUCGAGUGUCGAGGUGGGCCGGCACGUUUACUUUGAACAAAUUAGAGUGCUUAAAGCAGGCCGAGUUUCGCCUGAAUAUUGUGUGCAUGGAAUAAUGGAAUAGGACCUCGGUUCUAUUUUGUUGGUUUUCAGAACCCCGAGGUAAUGAUUAAUAGGAACGGAUGGGGGCAUUCGUAUUGCGACGUUAGAGGUGAAAUUCUUGGAUCGUCGCAAGACGGACAGAAGCGAAAGCAUUUGCCAAAAACGCUUUCAUUGAUCAAGAACGAAAGUUAGAGGUUCGAAGGCGAUCAGAUACCGCCCUAGUUCUAACCAUAAACGAUGCCAGCUAGCGAUCCGCCGACGUUCCUUAUAUGACUCGGCGGGCAGCUUCCGGGAAAUCAAAGCUUUUGGGUUCCGGGGGAAGUAUGGUUGCAAAGCUGAAACUUAAAGGAAUUGACGGAAGGGCACCACCAGGAGUGGAGCCUGCGGCUUAAUUUGACUCAACACUGGAAACCUCACCAGGCCC